GAUGAACGCUGGUGGCGUGCCUAAUACAUGCAAGUCGAGCGAAUGGAUUAAGAGCUUGCUCUUAUGAAGUUAGCGGCGGACGGGUGAGUAACACGUGGGUAACCUGCCCAUAAGACUGGGAUAACUCCGGGAAACCGGGGCUAGUACCGGAUAACAUUUUGAACCGCAUGGUUCGAAAUUGAAAGGCGGCUUCGGCUGUCACUUAUGGAUGGACCCGCGUCGCAUUAGCUAGUUGGUGAGGUAACGGCUCACCAAGGCAACGAUGCGUAGCCGACCUGAGAGGGUGAUCGGCCACACUGGGACUGAGACACGGCCCAGACUCCUACGGGAGGCAGCAGUAGGGAAUCUUCCGCAAGGGACGAAAGUCUGACGGAGCAACGCCGCGUGAGUGAUGAAGGCUUUCGGGUCGUAAAACUCUGUUGUUAGGGAAGAACAAGUGCUAGUUGAAUAAGCUGGCACCUUGACGGUACCUAACCAGAAAGCCACGGCUAACUACGUGCCAGCCGCCGCGGUAA
rnacentral:rRNA from 1 species